rnacentral:rRNA from 1 species
AGAAUCAACGCUGGCGGCGUGCCUAACACAUGCAAGUCGAACGAGAAAGUGGAGCAAUCCAUGAGUAAAGUGGCGCACGGGUGAGUAACACGUGACUAACCUACCCUUGAGUGGGGGAUAACCUAGAGAAAUCUGGGCUAAUACCGCAUAAUACCUUCGGGUCAAAGGAGCAAUUCGCUUAAGGAGGGGGUCGCGGCCGAUUAGUUAGUUGGCGGGGUAAUGGCCCACCAAGACUAUGAUCGGUAUCCGGCCUGAGAGGGCGCACGGACACACUGGAACUGAAACACGGUCCAGACUCCUACGGGAGGCAGCAGUGGGAAUUUGCGCAAUGGGGGAAACCCUGACGCAGCAACGCCGCGUGGAGGAUGAAGUCCCUUGGGACGUAAACUCCUUUCGAUCGGGACGAUAAUGACGGUACCGAGAGAAGAAGCCCCGGCUAACUUCGCGCCAGCACGC